AACGAACGUUGGCGGCGUGGAUUAGGCAUGCAAGUCGUACGAGUUUCAUCUGGGUAACUGGAUGAAAAAAGUGGCGAAAGGGGCAGUAAGGCAUGGAUAAUCUACCCUGAUGACCGGGAUAGCUGUCCCAACGGGCAGGUAAUACCGGAUGAGCUGGUGGGGCCGCAUGGUUCUGCCAGGAAAGGCGCAAGCCGUGUCGGGAGGAAUCCAUGUGAUAGUAGCUAGUUGGUGAGGUAAAGGCUCACCAAGGCGAAGAUGUCUAGCGGGUGUGAGAGCACGAGCGGACACACGGGAACGGAGACACGGGCCAGAGUACGACGGGAGGCAGCAGGAGGGAAGAGGCGGCAAGGGGCGAAAGCCGGACGGAGCAACGCCGCGGGAGUGAGGAAGGGCGGCGGAUCGGAAAACGCUGUGAGGAGGGAAGAACAGAUGGGGAAGGAAAUGUGCACAGCGGGACGGGACCUAAUCAGAAAGCCACGGCUAACUACGUG
rnacentral:rRNA from 1 species